ACUACGGGAGGCAGCAGUGAGGAAUAUUGGUCAAUGGGCGAGAGCCUGAACCAGCCAAGUAGCGUGAAGGAUGACUGCCCUACGGGUUGUAAACUUCUUUUAUAAAGGAAUAAAGUGAGGCACGUGUGCCUUUUUGUAUGUACUUUAUGAAUAAGGAUCGGCUAACUACGUGCCAGCAGCCGCGGUAAUACGGAGGAUCCGAGCGUUAGCCGGAUUUAUUGGGUUUAAAGGGAGCGUAGAUGGGUUGUUAAGUCAGUUGUGAAAGUUUGCGGCUCAACCGUAAAAUUGCAGUUGAUACUGGCUGUCUUGAGUGCAGUAGAGGUAGGCGGAAUUCGUGGUGUAGCGGUGAAAUGCUUAGAUAUCACGAAGAACUCCGAUUGCGAAGGCAGCUUACUAAACUGCCACUGACAUUGAUGCUCGAAAGUGUGGGUAUCAAACAGGAUUAGAUACCCCAGUAGUC
rnacentral:rRNA from 1 species